rnacentral:lncRNA from 1 species
GGGCAGGCGGAGCGGCCCCUCCUUCCUUUCCGCGGGGCCCGGCUUCUCCCCUGGGCGGCCGGACCGUGGAGCUGAGCUGCCGAGUGACUUUUCUGCUCCCCUUCCCGGUGCCCCGGGAUCCUGGAGGCGCGGGGCGGGCCGGCCUGGCAGCGGCGUCUUUUCUACGCCCAUCCACAGUGCCCGGCCCCCGGGGCACCCACCGCCCCAGCCCCACACAGUCGCCGGCGUCGUGACUCUCCCCAGCCAGCCCCCCCCCCNUGCGCACAGAGGGGGACCCGGGGCUGGCGCUGCAGCCUCCUGCUGGGCAGGAGUGACGGGCCCCCUGCCCCGCACCUGGCGGAGAAGAGCACCUGCUCCGAUGCUUUGCAGACUAGAAAGGUCUGAGGAGUCGCCUGCCACUGAAAAUGUUGCCUGUAGGAAAUUAGAUCCCAGGUAACUCGGAGUUGUCUGUUAGAAGCCGUGCUAUCUUCAUUGCGGAGUGAGGAGAAGCUGGGGCCGGAUCCAUACAACAAUGGAGGAGGCUGCCACCUGGUGAUGAAACAGUAAGAUUGUCAUGUUAUUUGAAGAGGAUGAAUACAGCUGAUUUAUUCAGACCUGUGUGGACAGCCAACAAGACACUGCCUUGACUGGGUGUGUGGAGGUGGAGGUUUGCACUCGUGCAGUAUGGGUUCCUGCUGUGACAGAGAAUGCCUGUUAAAUGGUUGCCACCACACAACUGUGACUGAGCGUAACUGUGUCACUGGCUGCAAGCCCCCUGGCACACCUGAGACAUGGGGGAAAAUGAGAUGAAUUUCACGGUUGUUAUUGUCACUGGAAAAAUGUGAACUGCUGGAGGAACUUGGCCCAGUGUUGGCUUUCCCUCCACUACAGGACUGACCACCAUCUUCCCUGCUGCCCAGAAAAUAUGGCUGAAUGAAGACUAAGGAUGUGCUAUGGAGCCUGGAUUCAACUGCUCUGACCUGUGUGACAGGUACUCCAGUUGGAACAGCCAGGUGCAGAGGCAGAGGACCCUGCAGGAUCUCUGCACGAUAACGAUUGUACGUACCAAGAUGGGGACUGGGCUACUCUGACCUUGAAUGCUAGGUUCUACGCAGAGGAAUGAGUUUGAGAGAGGCCUCUAGGGAGGAGGAGCACACUAGAAAACUUUCUAGGGGAAACUUCUCCCCAGUGGGAGUGAGAACGCUUGGCUUGUUGAGCAGUCUGCCAAGGGAAAGAAGGACACCCCAAUACUUGCGGUCUUUAAAACUUGUCUGGGUAAAAGCCUGGCAGGUAGAGUGUAAAGAGACAGCCUGGGGAAAUAGCCAAGGAAUUUGAAAGAAUCUUUCCCAGUGAGCUAAUGUGAGCUUGGAACUGAAAUGACCUUCCGUCCCCUUGACCUCCUACCUUCCCUGGAACUUCAAAGUGCCUUUCAAAUAUUAAUAAAGAUGGAUUUAAUUAAAAGCCA